GGUUUCGUAGCUCAGUUGGUCAGAGCGGUCGGCUGUUAACCGAUAGGUCGCAGGUUCGAGUCCUGCCGUUACCG
rnacentral:tRNA from 4 species